UUAUUUUAACUUUGUAAUAAGACUUUCAUAGCAAGGUAAUUAUGAAAAUAAUAAAUUAUUAUGAUUUUUUUUUUUAGUACCACCAUUAUCUGUUUCAGCUGUUCCACCUUCCACUGAUCUAACUGUGCCAUCAUCAUCUACUCCAACUGGUUAG
rnacentral:lncRNA from 1 species